rnacentral:rRNA from 1 species
UACAGAGGUCUCAAGCGUUGUUCGGAUUCAUUGGGCGUAAAGGGUGCGUAGGCGGCGCGGUAAGUCGGGUGUGAAAUCUCGGAGCUUAACUUCGAAACUGCAUUCGAUACUGCCGUGCUUGAGGACUGGAGAGGAGACUGGAAUUUACGGUGUAGCGGUGAAAUGCGUAGAUAUCGUAAGGAAGACCAGUGGCGGAAGGCGGGUCGUCUGGGCAUUAACUGACGCUGAGGAGCGAAAGCAUGGGGAGCGAACAGG